rnacentral:tRNA from 2 species
CGGGGAGUAGCUCAGUCCGGCAGAGCACUGGCUUUGGGAGCCAGGGGCCGCGGGUUCAAAUCCCGCCUCCCCGA